UACGUAGGGGGCAAGCGUUGUCCGGAUUUAUUGGGCGUAAAGCGCUCGCAGGUGGUCCGUUGCGUCGUGCGUGAAAGACCCCGGCUCAACUGUGGGCGUGCGGGCGAUACGGGCAGACUGGAGUACUGCAGGGGAGACUGGAAUUCCUGGUGUAGCGGUGGAAUGCGCAGAUAUCAGGAGGAACACCGGUGGCGAAGGCGGGUCUCUGGGCAGUAACUGACGCUGAGGAGCGAAAGCGUGGGGAGCGAACAGG
rnacentral:rRNA from 1 species